CUGCACAACGGUGGCUUGUCCGAUCUCAUUCGGGUUGUUGCUGGAGUGGGUCAAGAAUGUAUCCUAUCACCGCUACUGUUCCUUUAUUGUAAUGGAUGAGAUCCUGGUAGGUGCGAUUGAUCGUGAACCAAAUCGUGCGUUGCUGUUACCAUGGAGCACCUAGAUGACUUCGAACUGGCUGAUUACGUUGCUCUCUUAGCUUAACGGCGCUCUGAUAUGCAGAGUAAGCUCGAUGAUCUUGCCAAUCGCUCCUCGGCGGCAGGUCUUACCAUCAACGUCAUUGGAUAUAAACAUGGUCAACUCUUCCAGCUUUACGGUAGCUGGACAAGCAGUGGAGAAUGUUGAGUGCUUUCAAUUUCUUGGUAGUCAAAUGGCGGCACCAAGAUCGACAUAGGUGCACGAAUGAAGAAGGCGAGGGCUGCUUAACGCGAGUUUAACCCUUUAACUCUCAUGGUGUAUGUAGAGCACCAUCACUUUUUGGCGAAUCCGACCUAAACCAAUUCACUUGAACAUGUUAUAAAAGCGUUUGGGGAAAGAUUAUAAGCUUAUUAAAGUACUCAUACACUCUUAUUAUUGGUUCAAUAGUGAAACUAUUGAUAAACAAUCAAAAACUUUUUUUACGGUUUCGAAGUGAUUUCUAACAACUUUUGUUUGAGCACUUUUUAUUCAAAGCAUUUAUUAGCAUUCAAAACUUUGAAAGAAGUCGUGGUCGGGAAGGGGUUAAGAAAUGUAUAGGAAAACAUCCAGGUUAGUCGACGCACCAAAAUUUGUAUUUUCAUCUCGAACGUGAAAUCUGUGCUGCUGUACGCCAAUGAAACUUGGUGUGUAUCAUUGGCGAACACUCAACGGAUCUUCACCAAUACAUGCCUGCGGUACAUAAUUCGUAUACUAUAGUCAAGAAAAUGAUGGCGGGCAAUAGGGCACGUUUGCUGUAGUACUAGAUUUGUAGUAAUGAGCUGAAUUUUAGUAUGGUGAGAAGGUCAAUUCUCCGUUUCAGCAAUGAAAUAGUGUAAAAAGUGUGGGUAUUAUGCACGUAUAUGACAUCCCUAUUCCCACCCAAUAGGAUUGUUUGCAGCCAACAUCAAUUGGGUUCCCCCAUUGACAAUGCAUUUGAGUUCCCUAAACAUUGGUACAAGAUGCGGGAAUCGAAAACGUGACGUCAUCGCACCAUGGUGGUAUUAUGAUUCCUUGCCUAAUUUGAUGCUGUUUGAGCAAAAUUUUGGAUAACUAUGUUGUUUAUGUUGCAAGAAAUGGAGAAAACAACAACACUGUUGCCCAAAGUUUUGCUCAAACAGCAUCAAAUUAGGCAAGGAAUCAUAAUACCCACGCUUUUUGUACUAUUUCAUUGCAGAAAUGGAGAAUUGACCAUACUGAAAUUCAGCUCAUUACUACAAAUCUAGUACUUCACCGAUCUGUCCUAUUGCCAUGGAUGGAGAUCUUUCAUUUCGGCUCUCUGCACCAGCGUGGGUGCUCAACACUAAAAGUUACGUAGUAAAUAACUUACUUCAGGAUAAGGAAUAUUUUUCUUUCAUUCUCCUUUUUUUAAAUAUAGACUGUAAAAGUUCGGUUGUUGAUAGCAGUUUUAUUUUUUUUGUUUUUUUUUCUUUCACAUCUUUUGAUCUAAAAUCUUUUCUAAACAUAUUUCUCACAAUAACAAAUAUCAGGUACAGUGAUUUCAUCUGUUUUCACACAUCACUUAUUUUCGCUUCGGUCGUUUUCCUUGUUUGAUUUUAUUCCUUAAACUUCUAUUUGAAAUUAUAGGAAAUAGAUUUAGAACUAAUUUUUUCAAUUCAGUGUCUCGGUUUUUUUUUUUAAUUUUAUAUCUCACAAAUCAAAGCCAAUCAAAACUGCUAUCCCGGGCACAAGAAGUAAUCUGAUCGAAGAUGGAUUGAUUUGUAUGGAAAUGUCUCACCUACUAGUAGUAAAGGCUUGUUAACUGUUGUUUUGAGCAAAUUUGGACGCAUACCUGAAAUCUCUGAGCGAUCCUUGUCGCUACGCGGAAAUUUUGACACUAGAAAAUCGUACGUGUAAGGCAAACGGUGAGAGAGGAUUUCUUUUGAAAUGUGAAAACUUGGCUUUGAUUUGUGAUGAAUCUCCGUACAUUUUCCAAAAUGAGGCAACGGUUUGUGGUCUGAUCGUCGGACUGGUACGUACCCCGUUUGGAAUAUUUUCUAUUCUGGCAUUAAUCUUCCUUAGUUCGUGUAAAUAACAGGUACUAUGAAGUAAUUGUUUUCUCUUCGCCGGUCUAACUCUCUUACUUGCACAUUAAUUUCAAUGUUGAAAAUAGAAUUUAUUAUUCAAAACAAGACAAAUGCUUCUACAAUGAUGAAUCUUUAAAAACAAGGACUAUUUUUAAUUCUCAGUAAGUGAAAGUUGUCUAAAAAAACUGUACCUUUUGUAGAAUCUUUUAGUACGAAACAGUGGCAGUCAAUGCAUUCAAAUACUGAAAAUACAAAUGUAGAUUGCACUUCAAUGGAAAAAAAUCAUCAGCAAAAUUCUAAGUCAAACAGUACAAUAAAGAAAGUGACUUGUAUUUUCCUAUAAUUUGUUUUAUUGAUAGAGAUCACAAUUGUUUUGCCUGGAUUUACCAUUGUUUCAGAUAUUUAAUAUUCGAUUGCUUCGUUAUACGCUUGCUGCACAAACGACCCACCCUGUAAAUGUUGAGACUUUCGCAACUUGGAAAGUCAAGAAUCUUCCUUCUACCUGCAAUUCAAAUUUACGUACCGGAGAUUCUGAUGCGCCGAUGCUAUUGAAACGCUGCUGGUAAGCUUAUACGUAAAUUCAAAUUGCACGUUCCAUUAUGUUGACAAUCGCUAGUAUUUUUAUUUCGCCAAUUUCAUCAGUGCUAAUUCUACUAGGAAUAAUUCAGAAAACGAUUUAUCACAUCUGGAGUCGGGCUUAUUUUCCCGUUUUUUUAUCAAAUGUUGUUCCAAAAUGCCACCAAUUGAGUAUCGCUUGAAAGGGAAAAGAUGUUGACACUAAUAUUCCCUUCAAGGCUCAGAAAAGAACACAUAGUUUAAAAAAACUGCUGACUUUGGUGUUGCGAUUUUGAUUCACAAUUUUCGAGGUUUAAUAACCCUGAUAGAUUUCUGGUACGUUCAUAGUUAACCGUGUUCAAC